rnacentral:rRNA from 1 species
AUGCUCCCUUCAGAUAGAAUCCUCCAACAGCAAUAUCGUGCUCGAAACUACACUGUCUAUUCCGAGCUUAUUCACAUGUUACUUCAGGCUGAAAAGCAUGAUGAGCUACUCGCUAAGAAUGGCUUUCAGCGCCCAGUUGGGGCACAACCUUUACCUGAAGUCCAUCUGAAUGUUGCAAAUAGACAGAAGUUUAAUGGUACCUUUCGGGGUAAACAUUCCAAUUUUGAGCAUAAGCGAAAACACAAUGGGAACAGGAGAUCUAGAUACCCAGGAAAGGGAAAUGGCACUUCAAAGCCCAUCGUUGAUUAA